AAACUCUCCCACAUCAAAUCCUUUCUUCUGUUAACUACCUUGCAUCAGUUUUCUUAUACCUCAGUAUUGCUCCUAACUCCAUCAUUCCUAAACUAGUGUGAAGAAAUUCGAUUUGGCCAAACCAUUUUUUCCAUAAAGAAUACAUUUUUUCAAGACGCCUACAUUUUUGGCCUUAUGUCAGUUUGGCAGAAUUUCAGUACUAAAAAACUGAUUCAGGAAACAAACCAGACCAACCAAAAUGGCGUGAAAAUUGGCAAAUCAGUAUACUGCAAAAUAUGAACCAAAUAAAAGAAGAAAAAAGUUACCUGCGCUCUUCCCAAAUCUCUAUGCAUAUUU